GUCACCUGGAUGAGUGACGAAAUGUUUCUCCCACAAAACGCUACGUCCAGAUGAACAGAAUCAACUUUUGGGAACUUAGAGAAUAAUUUCUGAAUAGUAGUGAAGCUGUCAGCACAUGAUUGGCUUUAAGGAGUUUCAUUUAUUCAUGAAUGUGUAUGUCAAAAGCCCAACAGUUAACAUGGGAUGUGCUAAUUUUAUGACAUGACUGUAUCUGAUUCAGUGAAGUUGACAUUAUUGCACUUUACUUUUGCUGCACCAAUAAAAUAUAAUAUGGUAAGACUUUAUUAUUUUAUUCUACUAUUCCUACACUAUCAAUGGGCUACUUUUGUAGUAAGAUGAAUCUACAGAGCGUAACUGGAAAGUGUUUGAUUGUCAGACUUUUGAUUUUAUUUGUAAAGAUUAAAGUAACUACUUAACUUUAAUUAUGACUCAACACUCCAUGUUUAUUUUCUUUCUCCUUUGAGUCAACAGCUUAUCUAAUUCAGGGUCACAUGGGUGCUGGAUCGUAUCUGACAUCUGGCAGUCUAUCGCUGGGCUAAUUUUUAAUUUUUUUCAUUUUUAUAUGUUAUUCUUUUCUUUUUGUUUUUAAUUUUAAUUUAGUGUUUUGUUUUUGUUUUUUGCUAAGUUUUUUUAAUUGUUCACAAACUUAUAUAGACAUAAAAAGAUUGGACGUAUUUACGUACCACACCACAUGCACAGCAGAAGAACAGUAUGGUCACUGGAAAGAAGAAGCAGACCUCGAUCCAUAUCAGGACUCCCCACAUCUCCAGCUGACUUUCUGUGUGGUGGAGUUGCUGUAGAAGAAUUUUCUACUCUCUUUAAAAAAAUAAUAAUAAUAAUAAUAAUAAUAGUAACAAUAAUAAUAGCAACUCAAAAUACUGCCACAUGCUUGUAUGCAUGCCUGACAAUAGGAUGAUGGCUUGUGUCCUGGGGGAUCUCAUCCCACAUCUAGGAUGAUGUGGGUACAAGGGCAUCACUGAGGUGGAAAGUGACCCAGAGGUUUUCCAUUGGCUUUAGGUGAGUUUGGGGUCCAGUCAGUGGAAUUAAUUCCUUCAUCCUCCAGGAGCUGCCUGCUCUCACUACAUAAGGAUGAGUAUUCUCUUGCACCAGGAGGAACCCAGAACCCUCUACACCAGUGCAGGGUCUGAGAUUUUAUCCUGAUACUAAAUCACAGUCAGGGUGCCGUUGCCUAACCCAUAGAGGACUGUGUGUCCCUUCAUUGCCUCUCCAGACCAUCACUGACCCACCACCAAAACG
ensembl:lncRNA